GACACUACACAUCCAAGUAUAACUGAUCAAAUUAUGAAAGACAAGCAUCGUCAUUUUGAAUUCCGUAAAGUGAGUGAGGAAGAGGUGAACAAAUAAUUGUUGUCUAUCAACAAUGACAAGCCACCGGGGUCUGACAAUCUGGAUGGAAAAUGACUGAGGAUAAUAGCGGACGAUAUUGCCACUCCUAUUUUCCUACAAGAAAGUUUGUGCCCUCAGGCCUGGAGUGAAGCAUAAGUCAUUCCGCCACCCAAGAAUAGUAAAGCCCCCUUUACUGGCUCAAAUAGCCGACCAAUCAUCCUGUUACCAACCCUUAAACUUAAAGAAAAAUGGUGUUUGACCAGAUACAAUGCUAUUUUACAGUAAACAAAUUGACAACAGACUUUCAGCAUGCUUAAAGGGAAGGAUAUUCAACAAGCACAACACUUACACAAAUGACUGAUGAAUGGCCGAGAUAAAUUUAUCAUAAAAAAAUUGUGGGAACUGUUUUGUUAGACUUCAGUGCGGCUUUUGACAUUAUCGAUCAUUGUCUGCUGCUGGAAAAACGUAUGCGUUAUGGCUUUACACCCCCUGCUAUAAUGACUUUACACCCCCUGCUAUAAUGGCUUUAAACCCCCUGCUAUAUUGUGGAUAAAGAGUUACCUGUCUAACAGAACACAGAGGGUGUUCUUUAAUGGAAGCCUCUCCAACAUAAUCCAGGUAGAAUCAGGAAUUCCCCAGGGCUGCUAUCUAGGCCCCUUGCUUUUUUCAAUCUUUACCAAUGACAAGCCACUGGCUUUGAGUAUGACUCAACACUAUACAAAUUCACUACUACAGUGAGUGAAAUCCCUGCAACACUUAACAAAGCGCUUCAGUUAGUUUCAGAAUGGAUGGCAAGGAAUAAGUUAGUCCUAAAUAUAUAUAUAUAAAAAUAAAAGCAAAUAUAUUUGGGACAAAUCAUUCACUAAAUCCUAAAUCUCAACUAAAUAUUUGAGUAAAUAAUGUGGAAAUUGAGCAAGUUGAUGUGACUAAACUGCUUGGAGUAACCCUGGAUUGUAAACUGUCCUGGUCAAAACAUAUUGAUACAACAGUAGCUAAGAUGGGGAGAAGUCUGUCCAUAAUAAAGCGCUGCUCUGCCUUCUUAACAACACUAUCAACAAGGCAGGUCCUACAGGCCCUAGUUUCUACCUUCUUAACAACACUAUCAGCAAGGCAGGUCCUACAGGCCCUAGUUUUGUCGCACCUGGACUACUGUUCAGUCGUGUGGUCAGGUGCCACAAAGAGGGACCUCGGGAAAUUACAAUUGUCUCAGAACAGGGCGGCACGGCUGGCCCUUCAAUGUACACAGAGAGCUAACAAUGAUAAUAUGUAUGUAAAUCUCUCAUGGAUCAAAGUGGAAGAGAGAUUGUGUCACGUCCUGGCCAGUAUAUAAGGUUAAUUGUUUUGUAGUUUGGUCAGGGCGUGGCAGGGGGUAUUUGUUUUCUG
rnacentral:lncRNA from 1 species